AGAGUUUGAUCAUGGCUCAGGACGAACGCUGGCGGCGUGCCUAAUACAUGCAAGUCGAACGCUUCUUUUUCCACCGGAGCUUGCUCCACCGGAAAAAGAGGAGUGGCGAACGGGUGAGUAACACGUGGGUAACCUGCCCAUCAGAAGGGGAUAACACUUGGAAACAGGUGCUAAUACCGUAUAACAAUCGAAACCGCAUGGUUUUGAUUUGAAAGGCGCUUUCGGGUGUCGCUGAUGGAUGGACCCGCGGUGCAUUAGCUAGUUGGUGAGGUAACGGCUCACCAAGGCCACGAUGCAUAGCCGACCUGAGAGGGUGAUCGGCCACAUUGGGACUGAGACACGGCCCAAACUCCUACGGGAGGCAGCAGUAGGGAAUCUUCGGCAAUGGACGAAAGUCUGACCGAGCAACGCCGCGUGAGUGAAGAAGGUUUUCGGAUCGUAAAACUCUGUUGUUAGAGAAGAACAAGGAUGAGAGUAACUGUUCAUCCCUUGACGGUAUCUAACCAGAAAGCCACGGCUAACUACGUGCCAGCAGCCGCGGUAAUACGUAGGUGGCAAGCGUUGUCCGGAUUUAUUGGGCGUAAAGCGAGCGCAGGCGGUUUCUUAAGUCUGAUGUGAAAGCCCCCGGCUCAACCGGGGAGGGUCAUUGGAAACUGGGAGACUUGAGUGCAGAAGAGGAGAGUGGAAUUCCAUGUGUAGCGGUGAAAUGCGUAGAUAUAUGGAGGAACACCAGUGGCGAAGGCGACUCUCUGGUCUGUAACUGACGCUGAGGCUCGAAAGCGUGGGGAGCAAACAGGAUUAGAUACCCUGGUAGUCCACGCCGUAAACGAUGAGUGCUAAGUGUUGGAGGGUUUCCGCCCUUCAGUGCUGCAGCUAACGCAUUAAGCACUCCGCCUGGGGAGUACGACCGCAAGGUUGAAACUCAAAGGAAUUGACGGGGGCCCGCACAAGCGGUGGAGCAUGUGGUUUAAUUCGAAGCAACGCGAAGAACCUUACCAGGUCUUGACAUCCUUUGACCACUCUAGAGAUAGAGCUUCCCCUUCGGGGGCAAAGUGACAGGUGGUGCAUGGUUGUCGUCAGCUCGUGUCGUGAGAUGUUGGGUUAAGUCCCGCAACGAGCGCAACCCUUAUUGUUAGUUGCCAUCAUUCAGUUGGGCACUCUAGCAAGACUGCCGGUGACAAACCGGAGGAAGGUGGGGAUGACGUCAAAUCAUCAUGCCCCUUAUGACCUGGGCUACACACGUGCUACAAUGGGAAGUACAACGAGUCGCGAAGUUGCGAGGCUAAGCUAAUCUCUUAAAGCUUCUCUCAGUUCGGAUUGCAGGCUGCAACUCGCCUGCAUGAAGCCGGAAUCGCUAGUAAUCGCGGAUCAGCACGCCGCGGUGAAUACGUUCCCGGGCCUUGUACACACCGCCCGUCACACCACGAGAGUUUGUAACACCCGAAGUCGGUGAGGUAACCUUUUGGAGCCAGCCGCCUAAGGUGGGAUAGAUGAUUGGGGUGAAGUCGUAACAAGGUAAC
rnacentral:rRNA from 1 species